ACAAAAUAGGCUUAGUCCAGCAAAGAGAAUAAAAGGAGCUUCCUGAGAACAGCUUGGUAACUGAGACAUCUCACCACGCCUCUAAGGAUCAGUUCUGUCUUGUGAUUAACUCCAGUGACUCCCAGAGGCUAUUUGGAUGGAGAACUCGUGCUAGUUACAGAAAAGAGGAUCUGCACAUCAGCUUCACUUCUUGCAUUUUGUACCUUCUCUAGGAUGGGCAUCUCUAUUGAAGAUGAUAAGAUGGUGCUCAAUAAUUAGAAAAAACAGCAUUUUCAACUGGUCUAGCAGGACCAAAGCAAAAAUGGUGCGGUAUAAUCUUGCACUUUAUGACUUCUGCCAGCCCUCACCCAUGCUUCCUUUCCUGGGCGCACUUUGUGCCCCUUAAGUAUUAACUCUGAAAGCCACCUUCUUAGUCAUUUCUCAGCACUACCUUUAGUGAACAUCUCUGGUACAAAGGCCAAGUUCAAGCUGGAGCCUCUCUGACCCAUACAAUCACCACUGCUGCUGAACCGACCUGGGUUUCUUCUCUUACCCUCCAGUCUGCUCCUGGCAGGACUACCAGGAGAGCCUGCAAAGUAAUCCAAUCAGACAUGUUGGAGGCCCUCCCACAGGCUGUCCAUCUAAGGAAACCAUUGCUCUCCUGAGUCACCCAGGAUCCAAACGACUGACUCACACACUUGCAAAUGUGCUGGCAGGCAGGUUCACUCCAUGACAUGGAACCCAUGCCUGACACUGCUGAAGUGGCGAAGAAUCUGAGACUAGGUAGGCCAUGGCCUUCUGGGAAAACCAAGUUCUACUGUUCUCACGAAUUAGCAUCACAGUAGAACAACUCCUAAUGACACUCUGCUAUGCCCAUAGAUCAGUACCUUGCUCAUCCAUCAGCACAGAUGCUUUCUCUUGCUGUAGAUGGGAAUAGCACAGAGACCCACCACUGGGUAAAAUGCAGAGUGAGAGACUUUGAAGUUCUCAAUCCUAAAUGGGAUGUCUUCAUCAAACCCCUCCCCUCAGGGUUCAGGGAGCUGUGAAGAAGAGGAGGCAAAAAGACUGUAAGAGCCAGAGGUAAUAAAUGAUUCCAAUGAAACAGUGUCUUCUAGACACAGCAUGAUGGAUGCACGCAUGUACUCACAGAGACUAUGGCAACAAACGCAGCACCUGCACAGGUUCAAACUGGAUGGGGUCCUGGUGCUGAGAGGGAGAAGUCAGCAUGUGCUCCCAUCUCUAACCAAGAAGCUAUCUGUAAUUAAUACCCACAGGCAGUGAGAAGUUUACUUUUCUCCAGUGGAGUUUCACUGGGUAUAUUAACCACAUAGUUCAUGGUAGGCCACGUGCUCAAGAGUAACUGGCCAACACAAAAAUGAACUCAGUGGUAUUUGCCUCAGUUUUUGUUUGGAUAUUUUUUUUGUCUUGUUGGUCUUAUGCUUACAUAUUUUGGUUUCUGUUUUUGUGUUUUAAUGAGGUUUGCGCUUUUUGUUUGUUUUUUAAAGAGAGGGGAAGGGUGUGGAGUUGGGUGGGUGGGGAGGUGAGGAGGAUCUUGGAGGAGUUUUGGGAGGGGAAAUGGUCAUCAGAAUAUAUUGGAUGAUAGUUGUUUUCAAUCAAAAUUAAAAAUAAAUAAAAGAACAAGCAAGAAGUCCUUCUUUCAAAUGCAAAAUUUGGGGAAUUUGGGCUUUAACAUAAUCUGAGAGCAAAUAUUCUAUUGCCCACUAUAUAUCAUCAUGUAUGUGUGUUUAUAUAAAUGUGAAUAAAAAUAUAUAUACAUAUUUUCUAACAUUA